rnacentral:rRNA from 1 species
UACGUAGGGGGCAAGCGUUGUCCGGAUUUAUUGGGCGUAAAGAGCGUGUAGGCGGCCUGGUAGGUCAGCUGUGAAAACUCGAGGCUCAACCUCGAGACGCCGGUUGAAACCAUCAGGCUAGAGUCCGGAAGAGGAGAGUGGAAUUCCCGGUGUAGCGGUGAAAUGCGCAGAUAUCGGGAAGAACACCCGUGGCUAAGGCGGCUCUCUAGUACGGUACUGACGCUGAGGCGCGAAAGCUAGGGUAGCAAACGGG